rnacentral:rRNA from 1 species
GUCUAUGGCCAUACUAACAUCCUGAACACACCUGAUCUUGCCUGAUGCUGAGAGCUAAGUAGGAUCAGGCCUGGUUAAUAUUUAGAUAAGAGACUACUGGGAAUACUGAGUACUGUGGGCU